AGUGAACGCUGGCGGUAGGCCUAACACAUGCAAGUCGAACGGCAGCACAGUAAGAGCUUGCUCUUACGGGUGGCGAGUGGCGGACGGGUGAGGAAUACAUCGGAAUCUACUUUUUCGUGGGGGAUAACGUAGGGAAACUUACGCUAAUACCUCAUACGACCUACGGGUUAAAGCAGGGGAUCUUCGGACCUUGCGCGAUUGAAUUAGCCGAUGUCGGAUUAGCUAGUUGGCGGGGUAAAGGCCCACCAAGGCGACGAUCCGUAGCUGGUCUGAGAGGAUGAUCAGCCACACUGGAACUGAGACACGGUCCAGACUCCUACGGGAGGCAGCAGUGGGGAAUAUUGGACAAUGGGCGCAAGCCUGAUCCAGCCAUACCGCGUGGGUGAAGAAGGCCUUCGGGUUGUAAAGCCCUUUUGUUGGGAAAGAAAAGCAGCAGGUGAAUACCCCGAUGUUCUGACGGUACCCAAAGAAUAAGCACCGGCUAACUUCGUG
rnacentral:rRNA from 1 species